UACGAAGGUCCCGAGCGUUGUUCGGAAUCACUGGGCGUAAAGGGAGCGUAGGCGGCGCGGUAAGUCAGAUGUGAAAUCCCGGGGCUCAACCCCGGAACUGCAUCCGAUACUGCCGUGCUAGAGGAUUGGAGAGGUAGCUGGAAUUCCUGGUGUAGCAGUGAAAUGCGUGGAGAUCAAGAGGAACACUCGUGGCGAAAGCGGUUGCCUGGAGCUUUGCUGACGCUGAUGCGCGAAAGCGUGGGGAGCGAUCCGG
rnacentral:rRNA from 1 species